CUCACUAAGGGCCAGGUAUUAUUUCACUCGGUUCUACUGUAACUUUAUGUGCUAAGUAUUGUUAUCAACUCCAUUUUAUAGAGUAGGAAAGAGAGGUUCAGAAUGGCUGAUAAGCCGCCCAAGGCCACGGGACCAGUAAGCAGCAGGGAUUUAAACCCAAGUCAGAAGACGCUAAAACCUCUCAGUUCUUACGCUGUAUUCGCCUCUAAAAUACGCCUGACAAGCUGCUUCCAAACUGUGCUUGAACACCUCCAGGGACGAAGGGCUCAUUACCACCCUCAUCCGUAUCCUCACAAUGAGUGCUCUCCCCUGACACAUAAAGCAUUAUUAUGGUGAGAUUAUUAUCUGUAAAAUAGAGUGAUUGGAGUAGAUGCUCUCUUAAGGUCUAUUCCAGAAACAUCACUUGGAGAGAGCACAAGCAUUUACCGACAAAUCCAGCCUGGCUGCGGAAGAAAGGAUUAAACAUCUCCGUAUGAAAAUGGAACGCAGCGAGUAAGAGGUGUGUGUGUGAAUGGGGGCAAUUAAUCCUCUUUUGCCGAUCACUAUAAAAAAACAUUUGCUGGAGAGGAGGCAUUUAUUCCCUGCAGACACACGGUGCGAUUUUAAAAUAUCUCCACAGAAGGAAAGAUGACGGAGGAAAUACAAAUCUAUUAAAUGUGCAGGGCAGAAGAAAAAGGGGCUUCCAUAAAAGGAUUUCUAAAGCGUAUCAAAGGCUUCUGGGGUCAGCGAGGGCUGUCGGAACACUACCAAUUAGAGCUAAAUGGGAAACCGGCUUAAAUCUCAAAAUUAAAGAUUAAGAGCGCCAAUUAACUUGUCUUCUAACAGAAAACAUAGCCCUUAAUGCUCAGUGUAAUUUAAUAUUUCAAAAUUAUGACCACAAGCAUCUAAGGCUGCCGUUCGACAAUAUAAAAUGGACAAUAAAAAUCUCCGCGGGGCCUUGGCUAUCCCGGCCGAACGGGCGUUGAACUACGCGGGUACAGGGUGGCUCUGAAGUCACAAUGGCUGGACUGGCCCCGGGCACAGUUAGAACUCGCCCCAGGACACCUCAGCUCCGUUUUCCAAAGACCCAUUCUCUGGCCAGCAGGAACCUUUUGAUUUGUGUUUCGCAGGCUUUAAUAAGGUGGAUUAUGCUGAUGUGAGCGGAGGAAACCCCCAGCCGUGCUGAGAGGGGCCGCAGACUUUUCCGGCAGAUUUCUCCAAAGCAGGGCUUUUCAACCUUGAGGAGCUUUGAAAAUGCCUCACCCCUGGGCCUUCGUAUAGACCGCAAGCCCAGGGCAUUGGAAUUUUUUAAAGCUCUCGGUUCAUUCUCACUGGCACCCGGGGUUGAAAACUGCUCCUCUGAAAUAUUGUGGACCCACCGAAGAAGAGAAAGCGGACAUCUGGAACAUAGGAAAGCGUUGAUUUAUGCUGGAGUCACCAGGAUGAUACCCGCCAUGCUGACAGUGAGCUGUGCAGAUGAGAACACGGGCCCACGGAAAAAUUUCCUCCUGGCAGGUAGGAACUGGGAGCUGAGUAGAACACAGAAUUCAGCCUCUGACAAAGUCUUGGAGCAUAAAACCAGAAAUAUAAAAAGCCCACGGCUGAGAAUCUAGGAGUCUGGGGACACCCCUACACGUGUGAGGCCCCUGUGGGUGACCGGCCUUCCUAAGGAGGGUGAAGCUGAAACCCCCAGGUGGAGCUGUCCAGGACCUCCUCCUGGCCUUGAACCAGCUUCUCCGUGACUCUUCUCCCAUUGCCUGGGUAACAGCGUGGGGCACUGGGCAAGUUCCCAAGUCUGCAGACAGAUGGAUGAACUCAGGGUGCAGAGACACCAUUUAACGAGUGAUCUGGGGCAAAGAGCUCCCCACCUCGAGCUUCCUCAGUUUCCUCAUCUAUAAAACACAGAUAAUAACAGGACUCACGGGGUUAGUGUAAGGACCGCCUGAGAUCAGCCCUGCGGGCCCCCGGCGAGGCGUCUGGCUUCACGGAUGUCCCUUCACAGACCCGCUCUCGACAUCCACCGUGUAUCACCUCGUGCCUCCCUGCCGCCGUGCUUUCGCCCAGCCAGGACCCUCCACCUGGAGUGCCUUCCCUCAUCGUCCAUCGCUCCCUGUCCGAUCCCACAUUAUUUGCCCUGAUGCCGGGUUAGAUGCUACACUUACCCCUCACUUUUUUCUCUUUGCUGCUUCUCCAUUCCAGAAUUUAGGUUUUAAACUCUCCAACAGGACUGCUCUCUCCUCUUGACCGUUCACCUCACCUGCGUCCUGGACCCCUACUUGGCAGUGACCAUCGUCUGCCUGAGUCACACCGUCACUCCCCCCCACCCACCCCCGCUUAGGAUUCCCUGAGGAUAACCGGUGUGGCAUUUCAUCUCCUGGAGGCCAGUGUGGAGUCUCAGAAAAAGCAUGUGCUUUGGCACGAAUCCUCCCAGCGAGCCAAAGAGAUGACUAAGCGCAGGAGGCUCAGAGAGGUGAAGACAGUUGUCCCUGGUCACCCAGCUAGCGAGUGCUGGGCUGGGGUCUGAACCCCUCUCACCACCAACUGGUACUUGUUCCUCUGCCAUAUCACUUGGGCUUCCGCAUAGUUUUCCUCUGAAGAAAGGGAUACACAGCUUAAAAAUAAAUGGAAACCAGCGCACCAGACCAAGCGAAGUCCGGGGCUCGUGCCUGGCGGAUCGGCGUGUGAUAAGAGAGCUGCCCAGAGAGUCUCAGCUCAGAUGUUGGCCCACAGCCCUACUGUGGCCGGCCCCUGACUAGACCUGUCCUCAUCCCACUGACGAACUCAGAGGGGGCUGCCCAGGGCUGGGCAAGCACUGUCUCCUGCGAUCUACUGGAACCAUCUACCAGCUUGUUGCCAGGGCUAAGGUAUACCUGGGAAACACUUAAAACCGUGGCUGACACGAAGGAGGCCUGAAGAAACAUCAGCCACUGUAAUUUUUAUUAUUAUCACCGUACCUAUUGAGAGACAAGUCAACAGAUGUGUGGAAGGAUGGCUGGACGUGCAGACGGAUGGAUGGGCAGACGGAUGGCGGCGUGACGAGGGAAUGAGUGGGGGGACAACCUAAUGCACACACAGAUGAGUGGAGGGUGGGGGGAGGAGAGGAAGGGAGAGGAUGGGGGGUUGGACACCAGAAUGGAUGCUCCGUGGGAAGGGCAGCAGGUGGAGCGAUCGCAGGGAACCCUGCUCUGAACUCACCCCCAAGGCGUCAGAGUCUGCUACCUGCCGCACUCCCGACGGGAAAUCCUAUCGGAGUCGUCCCUCCCCAACACCUAGGUCUGCUCCUGCUCUGGCUCCUGACAGUUUACAAGCCAAGCUGUUCUCUGAGGCUCUCGUGACACUCAGCAGCUGGUCACACAGUCCCUGUCCUCCCUGUCACAGAGCCAUGCCCAGGGCCAGGCGGGCUCUCCUCCCAGAUGGCCCUGGUCCGAAUCUGCUGGGACUUCAAGUCCGCACUGGGGAGCUCAGUGCUCCACCUGAGGCAGCAGGACACAGCUCUGCCCCUGUGACUCCUUUUACGCUGUGUAAUUGCCCUCAGCCUCCCAGGAAACUGAGGGAAUGGACUGAGCAGCGACUGCGUACCAGACCGACCCUUGGCGCUUUUUGUCAUAUUUAAUCAGCAUUACAAUCCUAGAAGGUGGAGUGUAAUCAUCCGUGUCUCACACAUGAGGUCGAGAACUCAGAGUCACGGAGAGCAAGUGGAAUCAGGACUUGAUCCCAGUCUCCCACUCCAGACACCAAGGCUCUUUCUACAACCUCAACAUUCUUGGGGGCCUCAGAAGAGGAUCCCAUCCCAUUUCCAGGGGGCACGCAAACUGUUGCUUGGGGACAAAGCUGGGACUAUGCCAGGAUUCUGGACUCCCCCAAAACGCCUUCUAGGGAUAAAAUGAUAUUUCUUAUUGAUCUUAUGUUAGAACAACUUGGCUAGAAGAAGACCUGUUGGUUCAAAGAGUUCAACCAUUGGGGGGGGGGGGGCGGGCCCAACCUUACUCCAUAUGCCGGUGAAGAACAUAGACAUGGACUCCUUUGGUCGCCAAGGAUACCACAAUCUAAUGUGAUAUCUCCCCAGCAGGAAUGGUCCCGGUACUGGUCAGACAGGUGGAACAGCCCUUCUCUGCCCGUCUCAUGGGUUGGCAGCUAAUCCUGAAAUCAGCUUGUGAUCCACUCUCAGGGCUCCUUGUGUCUUAAAUGGGACUCCUGAGAACCAAGAGCCUUCAAAAUCAUGGAUGAAUCCUGAAUCGCGCCCCCCAGGAGCCUCUCCAACUCUCCUGUGUGGGCAGGCCGACCCACUUGCACAGGUGUAUCUCCCCCCUGAGCCAGACGGGAGGCCUUCUGCGCGGAUCUCUAAAUAUCUAAAAUUUUCCAGUGCUACCUGAUGUUCAAGGUACCUUGUCAUAGGAUCCCCAAAACAGCUCCAGUACAAGAAAAAGAAAUUACAGACCACUCCCACUUACGAAAUGGGACAGGAAACUCUGAAUAAAAUAUUAGCUGAUGGAAUUCAGCGUUUCACAUUUUAAAGUACAUCACGAUCACGUAAAGUUUAACCCAGGAAUGCAGGCUCAGCUCGGUAUUGGAAAAUUUAUUCUACGACGCGGCACGCGAACAGACGGACGGAGAAAGAUCAGAGCGUCAUCUCAAAACAUGCAGAAAAGAGACUUAAUAUCAUGGAACACAUAUCCGUGAUUAAAACAGAAACUCUCGGUGAAAUAAGGGGAAAGGGAACAUCCCUAAUCUGAUGAAGUGUAUCUAUGAAGAAAUUUAAGCAGAUAUUUCACUCAAGGAUGAGGCGUUAGGCCUAGUUCCUUUAAGUCAGGAGUGAGGUCGGAUACCCUCUAUCAUUGACGCUGCUCCACGUUGAACUGAAGACCUAAUCAACACAAUGAGGAAAGAGGAAAUGAGCAAAUCGUGUAAGAAUUCAAAAGAAGUAAAACUGACUUCAUUUGCAUUGCUAUAUAGAAAUUGCCCAAGAAUCUACAGUCUUCUAGAAUGAGUAAGAGCGUUCGCUGUAAUACAAGCUCAGUGUCUAGGUCUCA